GGCGUUGUAGCAAAGUGGUUAAUGCGAUUGACUAGAAUUGCUUGGUUCGUCCAGCAACUGUCCAUCAAUUCCCUUCGGGGGCGUAGGUUCGAGUCCUGCCAACGUCG